UCCUGCCUUGAACCAUACCGGUUCCUUGAAAUCAACCCUAAGCCAUUUCUCAAGUACUUCUGGUGUGAUACAGCCUAGUGCUCCCAACAUUGCCCAUCUUCCAUGGAUGACCUGAAUGUUUUGUUUUGGUAUCAAAGAAGUGAAUAUUUAUCAAGGCAUGAGGUAUAGCUUUUAAUGAAAAUGAAAAGUUACAAAAUAGUCACUUAUUUAUUCAAUUUUACUUUUUUUUACUCACUAGUUUGACUAACAUAAAAAUGAAUGGAUUGAGUGAUUAUUUUGUAAUUUUUCAUAAUUAGGUAAUAAAAAAUCAUAAUUGAGUGACUACUAAUAUAAUUUAUUCAAAACUAUAAUCUUCUAAAUUUUGGGCUUGGAAAAAAUACUUUUAAAAUCAAAUAAUAUUUUUAACCUUGAUAUAUAAUGUAAUAUUUAUGUUAUGUGGGAGGGUUACCUCAAGAGCCCUAUUCCUGGCAAAGGCCUCAGGGUCGGCUGACAAACCAGCAGUGUCCCAACCAUAGUCACCAGGGAAUUCUCCAGUCAAGUAAGAUGGAGUCUGAGCUGAAAAUGGUCCCAAGUACUUCACUCUGUCUGGUCCAUACCAUAGUUCA
rnacentral:lncRNA from 1 species